rnacentral:rRNA from 1 species
UGGGGAAUAUUGCACAAUGGGCGCAAGCCUGAUGCAGCCAUGCCGCGUGUGUGAAGAAGGCCUUCGGGUUGUAAAGCACUUUCAGCGAGGAGGAAGGUGAUGGACUUAAUACGUUCAUCAAUUGACGUUACUCGCAGAAGAAGCACCGGCUAACUCCGUGCCAGCAGCCGCGGUAAUACGGAGGGUGCAAGCGUUAAUCGGAAUUACUGGGCGUAAAGCGCACGCAGGCGGUUUGUUAAGUCAGAUGUGAAAUCCCCGGGCUCAACCUGGGAACUGCAUUUGAAACUGGCAAGCUAGAUCUCGUAGAGGGGGGUAGAAUUCCAGGUGUAGCGGUGAAAUGCGGUAGAGAUCUGGAGGAAUACCGGUGGCGAAGG